ensembl:lncRNA LOC102549789 uncharacterized LOC102549789
AUGGGUAUUGCAAACUGCAGCAGCUGGGUCUGCAGGGACAUGGGUUAAGGUGUUCUUGGUAGUAGUUCAAGCCUCCCGGGAGCCAAAGGACAGACUCUACUCACAAGCUCCUUUGCCAGCUGACUGUGCACCCAUUCCUGUGGCAUCCACUGGGACUUUAGUCCUGCUUCUCUCUGCCACAGGUUCCAUUCCAUUUCACCAGUUUUUUUUUUAUCCUAAGUUUUUAUUUCUGUUUCUAUAUCUUGAAUAGUUUUGCCUAAAGCAAAUAUUAUCUUUCUCAUGCUGCUAAAGUAAUGCCUACCUGAUUAUCUUUGACAACAGAGAUUAUUUUUUUCUCCCUUCUGAAGGCUAGCAGCACAGUCAGGGUGUCAGCAGGUCCCGGCACUCUCAGGCUAUGAAGGAGAAUCUGUUCUUGGCUUUGUUCCUUCCUGGAAGCUGUUGGGCCAUCUUUGAUGUCUUUGCCGUCACCUUCACGUGUGUUCUCUUCAUGCAUACGUUUGUUUCUGUGUCCAUGCUUCCCGAUUUAUAAGCAUGCAAGUGAUAUUGGACCAGAAUUUACUCUAAUGACUUCAUUUGAUUUUGAUUACUUGUAAAAAUUUCAUUUUCAGAUAAGAGCACAUUCAGGAACUAGUGUUUAGGACACCAUCUGGGAAGAUAAACUGUAUGAAUAGCUAACGUUUCUGAAGAAGUAUAUCUGGAAGUUCUUUAAUAGUGGUUUUAUAUAUACGUGUGAAGUUUAUUAAAAUACUGGGAUAAUUAUGAGUGUAUGCCAAUCGAUGAGUCAUGUCUAAAUAUUUGUUUUUGAGACAGGACUUGUUUAGUCUUACAAAAAAUAUAUACAUACAUAGUUUAAUGAAAGAUUUUCUAUGUGGACUGACAAGAGCCAUAAACUAACCAAGGCCUUAGCGCCAGGUAUGAGAAUCUAUUUUUGAAUUCUUGGCUGCUGUUGUCCAAGAGACUUCCAAAACAUUUUGGGUUAUUUAUGUUGCUAUUGGUUACCCCAAAGGUGGACAUUGAUAAGUCCCAUGAAGACAUCAAGCACUUCAGACACAGGACCAGAGGAUUUGAACUAUAUGCAACCUGAAAGCCUCAUUCCUGAGGACCACCUUGCAUAAUAUGAGAAAGUGCCACAUGUACUUCCAAAGGAGAGAAGAAGCAACAGUCCUUCCUAGACCCAGCUGUACAUCCUGUGCACUGCAACAAUGACCAGAAUGGCAAGCGUGCCCUAUGGGUAUGGUACUGAUACACAUUCCUUGUUGGUGGCCAUGCGAUGGCAUCAUAGGUUGCUGCAGAUGGUUUCAAUGGUUCUGUUGGAUGUUCUUCAUCUGUGCCUGCAAGAGGCGCCCAAGGCUUUAUGUAUGGCCAUUGCUAUGACCUAGUGUGAUGCUCUACUUUCCCGCUGAACUUUACUUGCUAGAACUGAGGAGCUUGGCUAUAAUUUAGCCUUUUCUUUUUGUAUUUAGCUGUUGUUGAGGAAGGAGCUUUGGGAAUAGAAGUAACCAGGCAGCAGGUCCAUUUUCACUGUUGAAGGCAGCUGAAAACUCAUCCCUACUGAUGUCCCACAGAAGCAGCAAGAAGCCUUUCUCUCUAUGAAGUAAUGACAGAUGACGACCAGCAAAGAAUGGUAAGGCAUACCAACAGCAUGCAGUGUCACUAGCAAAGACCAGUAUCAGCAAAGCAAAGACCAGCAAAGCAUGCAUUAUUAACAACAGCGAAGUCAU